rnacentral:rRNA from 1 species
GACAUAGGUGGCGAACGUUAUCCGGAAUUAUUGGGCGUAAAGGGUGCGUAGGCGGUUUGGUAAGUCUUAUGUGAAAUCUACAGGCUCAACUUGUAGUCUGCAUGAGAAACUGCCGGGCUUGAGUGUGGGAGAGGUGAGUGGAAUUCCUGGUGUAGCGGUGAAAUGCGUAGAUAUCAGGAGGAACACCUGUGGCGAAAGCGGCUCACUGGACCAUAACUGACGCUGAUGCACGAAAGCUAGGGGAGCAAACAGG